rnacentral:rRNA from 1 species
UACAGAGGGUGCAAACGUUGUUCGGAAUUACUGGGCGUAAAGCGCGUGUAGGGGGCGAGGCAAGUCGGGUGUGAAAGCCCUGGGCUCAACCCAGGAAGUGCACUCGAUACUGCCUAGCUAGAGUCCCGGAGAGGUUGGUGGAACUCUCGGUGUAGAGGUGAAAUUCGUAGAUAUCGAGAAGAACACCGGUGGCGAAGGCGGCCAACUGGACGGUGACUGACACUGAGACGCGAAAGCGUGGGGAGCAAACAGG